rnacentral:rRNA from 1 species
UACGUAGGGACCAAGCGUUGUUCGGAUUACUGGGCGUAAAGGGCGCGUAGGCGGCGCGGUAAGUCACUUGUGAAAUCUCUGAGCUUAACUCAGAACGGCCAAGUGAUACUGCAGUGCUAGAGUGUGGAAGGGGCAAUCGGAAUUCUUGGUGUAGCGGUGAAAUGCGUAGAUAUCGGGAGGAACACCAGUGGCGAAGGCGACUUCCUGGCCUGUUCUUGACGCUGAGGCGCGAAAGCUAGGGUAGCAACGGG